rnacentral:rRNA from 1 species
UACGUAGGGAGCAAGCGUUGUCCGGAUUUAUUGGGCGUAAAGAGCUCGUAGGCGGUUCGGUAAGUCGGGUGUGAAAACUCUGGGCUCAACCCGGAGAGGCCACUCGAUACUGCUGUGACUUGAGUCUGGUAGGGGAGCACGGAAUUCCUGGUGUAGCGGUGAAAUGCACAGAUAUCAGGAGGAACACCGGUGGCGAAGGCGGUGCUCUGGGCCAGUACUGACGCUGAGGAGCGAAAGCGUGGGGAGCGAACAGGAUUAGAAACCCGGUAGUCC